GAAAAAGAGGAGAGAGGGUGACGGAGAGAGGGUGACGAGAGAGGGUGACGGAGAGAGGGUGACGAGAGAGGGUGACGGAGAGAGUGUGACGGAGAGAGGGUGACGGAGAGAGGGUGACGGAGAGAGUGUGACGGAGAGAGUGUGACGGAGAGAGUGUGUGACGGAGAGAGUGUGACGGAGAGAGGGUGACGGAGAGAGGGUGACGGAGAGAGUGUGACGGAGAGAGUGUGACGGAGAGAGGGUGACGGAGAGAGUGUGACGGAGAGAGUCUGACGGAGAGAGGAUGACGGAGAGAGGAUGACGGAGAGAGAGUGACAGAGAGAGGGUGACGGAGAGGGUGACGGAGAGAGUGUGACGGAGAGAGGGUGACGGAGAGAGUGUGACGGAGAGAGGGUGACGGAGAGAGUGUGACGGAGAGAGUGUGACGGAGAGAGUGUGACGGAGAGAGGGUGACGGAGAGAGGGUGACGGAGAGAGGGUGACGGAGAGAGGGUGACGGAGAGAGGGUGACGGAGAGAGGGUGACGGAGAGAGGGUGACAGAGAGGGUGACGGAGGAGAGAGGGUGACGGAGAGAGGGUGACGGAGAGAGGGUGACGGAGAGAGGAUGACGGAGAGAGGGUGACGGAGAGAGGGUGACGGAGAGAGGAUGACGGAGAGAGGGUGACGGAGAGAGGGUUACGGAGAGAUGGUGACGGAGAGAUGGUGACGGAGAGAGGGUGAUGGAGAGAGGGUGACGGAGAGAGGGUGACAGAGAGGGUGACGGAGAGAGGGUGACGGAGAGAGGGUGACGGAGAGAGGUGACGGAGAGGGUGACAGAGAGAGGGUGAAGGGAGGAGGGAAACAAGGGA
ensembl:lncRNA